GACGAACGCUGGCGGCGUGCCUAAUACAUGCAAGUAGAACGCUGAAGCUUGGUGCUUGCACCGAGCGGAUGAGUUGCGAACGGGUGAGUAACGCGUAGGUAACCUGCCUGGUAGCGGGGGAUAACUAUUGGAAACGAUAGCUAAUACCGCAUAAGAGUAGAUGUUGCAUGACAUUUGCUUAAAAGGUGCAGUUGCAUCACUACAAGAUGGGCCUGCGUUGUAUUAGCUAGAUGGUGAGGUAACGGCUCACCAAGGCGACGAUCAGGAGCUGGCCUGAGAGGAUGAUCAGCCACAUUGGGACUGAGACACGGCCCAAAAUACUACGGGAGGCAGCAGUGGGGAAUAUUGGACAAUGGGGGCAAACCUGAUCCAGCCAUGCCGAGUGAGUGAUGAAGGCCCUAGGGUUGUAAAGCUCUUUUGUGCGGGAAGAUAAUGACGGUACCGCAAGAAUAAGCCCCGGCUAACUUCGU
rnacentral:rRNA from 1 species